GCCCAGCGCAGCGAUACACAUCCGUGGUCCCAGCUACUCGGGAGGCUGGGGCGGGAGGAUCACUUGAGCCCAGGAGUUCUGGGCUGUAGUGCAGUGUGCUGAUUGGGUGUCCACAUUAAGUCUGGCAUCAAUAUGGUGACCUCCCGGGAGGAGGGAACCACCAGGUUGCCCAAGGAGGGUUGAACCAGCCUAGGUUGGAAACGGAGAUGGUCAAAACUCCAGUGCUGCGGGGUGCAGUGGCUCAAGCCUGUAAUCCCAGCACUUUGGGAGGCCGAGACGGGCGGAUCACGAGGUCAGGAGAUUGAGACCAUCCUGGCUAACACGGUGAAACCCCAUCUCU
rnacentral:SRP_RNA from 1 species